rnacentral:lncRNA from 1 species
GAAUUUAGAUAGAGGGCCUGUUCCAGGAAGAAGAGCCAUCACCAGAGACAACUACACGAACAUGAGCCAGGAAUCUUAAAGAGACUAGGCACUAGCCGGCAGAGACGGAAGAAAAGGAGUGCGAGAGAAGAGGGAGAUGAAAUCUAACAGCAGUUGAAGAGGUUGUGAGGCAAAGACUGGAACCAACAAUUCUAGAGCAGCACUCAGUGAGAGAUUUGUCUGCUCAGUCCUGCUUCCACUCCAAAGACCAGGUUUUCCACAGCCGCUCAAACCCAAGCUGUUGCCCCAUCGUCGCCGGGAGCACCCCACUUUCGUACAUCCCUCCCUCGCAUCGGUUAGAUCACGUUCUCCAACUUGAACGUGUUCUUUGUCAUUUAGG